ACAAUCCGUUCUUUUAUUAAUAAUCACGGUACAAAAAGCUUUGGCGUCCCAGAUAAUAACAACAAUAAUAAUAAUAAUAAUAACAAUAAUAAUAAUAAUAAUAAUAAUAAUAAUAAUAAUAAUAAUAAUAAUAAUAGUAAUAAUGGAUCACACUCUUUAAUGCCCGAUAAAUCACACACACACACAAUAGCUGAUAGACGCAAUAAUAAUAAAAAAUAAAUAAAUAAAUAAAAAAAUAAAAAAAAUAAAAACGCAAUCAGGUCGUAAUACAUGAAACAGACGAGGAUGAAAAGCAAUUAUUUUUCGGAAGGCUAUAGCAAAGGUUCUCAGCCCCCCUAUACCCCCCUUCCCCCCCCCUAAAUCAGCCCCCUCAUAUGCCCUAUCCUAUGUUAAUCUCCUUUUAUUUUUCUUAUUUUACGAACACUUUUUUUUUUUUGAUCACUUAAGGGAGUCUAUUUUGGGUUUAUAUCAGUCUUUCAUGUAUCUCAAUAAUAAUAAUAAUAAUAAUAAUAAUAAUAAUAAUAAUAAUAAUAAUAAUAAUAAUAGUAAUAAUUAUCAAUGACGUACGCACUUCCUAUACUCGCUUAUAUAUGUGAAUGAAAAUAUAAGUUACAUCCCUGAAUUUUGUUUCCCUGUUCGUUUUAUGCUCUGAGUUUUUGAGAUUUUCCCCUCCCCUCUACAUCACAUCCUCAUCAUCCAUUCUCUUCUAAACAUCUCUCUUUAUUCCCCCUUCCCUUACCUCCCUUUCUUCUACCAUUACCCCUCCUAACUACCCCUUUCUAUUCCCCAUUUCUCUCCCUUCACCCUUACGUUAUAUACCAAUGUCCAGGAAGUAUUGAAAUUAUACCUGUUCGUCAAUGGUACCUUAUUAUGAAAGCCAAUUGGAAUGUUUAGUUAACCCGAUAGCAGCGACGGGCCAAAUUUGUGCCAUGAUAUAAACCCCCCAAAAUAGAUGAUACAUAAUCUGAUCGCAAAUACUUUGAUAGAUAUUAUGUAACGGUUUGUGUGAGGGGUGAUUUUUUUCUCAUUUUUCUCGCUUGGAGGGACCAUUAAGAAACAUGAUCCCCGCUGCUACCAGGUUAAAUAAUGAAGUGUGAAUCUGUAAUCAUACGUCUGUGAUAGUUUGCUCGUGAUUCUUCCCUUGAUUGGCCGAACGGAAAGUGGCUACGAAAUGGAGGUGAAAAACUGUUAGAAUGUCCGUCAGUGGAUACGUACAUGAUUAGUAUUUCUCACCCAGGGAUAGAUGGUUCGUUAUGCCUAUAAUAAUUCCUGGAGACGAACAGCUCAUAUUACGUGAAAAAAAAUAUGUAACUAAGAAUGUCUGUUGAUUUAUAAGUCUGUGAUAGCUGGUUAUUUAUAGCAAGGGAAAGACUGAUAGUUUGCUCAUAAUUCUUCCCUUGAUUGGCCGAACGGAAAGCGGAUACAAAAUGGAGGUGAAAAACUAUUAGAAUGUCCGUUAGUGGAUACGUGAUAAUAUUUCUGAGGGAUAGAUUGUUCGUUACGCCUAUAAUGUUUCGUUACGCCUAUAAUUCUUCCAAGAUAUGAAUGGCCUGCAGCUUAGAAAUGGAGGUGAAAAACUGUUAGAAUGUCCGUUUGUGAUAAUAUUUCUUACUGAGGAACAGACAAUUCGUUACACUUAUAAUUCUUCCAAGAUAUAAACAGUCCACGACAUAGAAACGGAGGUGAAAAACUGUUAGAAUGUCCGUUUGUGACUAUUUCUUACUGAGGAACAGAUAAUUCGUUACGCCUAUAAUUCUUCCAAGAUAUAAACAGUCCACAGCAUAGAAACGGAGGUGAAAAACUGUUAGAAAGCCCAUUAGUAGACACAUUUGUGAUUACAUUUCAUACCAAGGGAUAGAUGAUUCGUUACGCUUAUAAAACUACCAGAAAACGGACGUACCAAGCUGAGAAUCACCAAACUCAUAAAUCAAGGUUCCACACGCGACUCGAACACUCCCGUGAACAACUUAACUAAUAAUGCAAAUGAAGCACCCAGUGAAUCAGUGUUAAUAAUGAUAAUAAUAAUAAUAAUAAUAGUAAUAUGGAUAUGUGCAGCAAUGGUUAUCACACUAAAUUAUCUAUUUACAUUAUAUCAGGUGGGUUACUAUAUACAGAAGUGUGUGUGUGUGUGUGUGUGUGUGUGUGUGUGUGUGUGUGUAUAGAUCACAAAUAUAAUGAGAAUGAUGAUGACAAUGAUGAUAAUGAGAGAGAGAGAGAGAGAGAGAGAGAGAGAGAGAGAGAGAGAGAGAGAGAGAGAGAAUCAUAUAUAAUUGGUUAUCUAACACUACUACUACUACUUCUACUACUACUACUACUACUACUACUGCUACUACUACUACUAUUAUAUUACUACUAUAACUAAGACUUAAACACAAAUCAGAAAUCAAAGUGUGUGUGUGUGUGUGUGUGUGUGUGUGUGUGUAACUAUAUAUCACAUCACUUUUACGAAACUAUGAAUUCAAUAUGUAAUAAUAAUAAUAAUAAUAAUAAUAAUAAUAAUAAUAAUAACACCCUCUUUCCAAUUAUUUGUUUGAUAAUGAUUCUAAUUAGGAAAAUCAUCAAGGGAAGGGAAGGGAAGGGAAGGGAUGGGAUGGGAAGGGAAGGGAAGGGAAGGGAUGGGAUGGGAAGGGAAUGGAAAGUAAGGUAAGGUAAGGUAAGGUAAAAAGAAGAAGAAGAAGAAGAAGAGGAAGAAGAAGAAGAGGAAGAAGAAGAAGAAAAAGAGGAAGAAGAAAAAGAGGAGGAAGAAGAAGGAGGAAGAAGAAUGAAAAAAAACAAGAACAAGAGGAAGAAGAUUAAGAAGGAGGAAGAAGAAGAAGGAGGAGGAAGAAGAAGGAAGAGGAAGAAGAAGAAAGAGGAACAAGGAAAACAAGAAGACAAAGAAGAAAAAGACAAAAAGAAAAGAAAGAAAAAGGAAGAAAAGAAAAAAAAAAGAAA